CAACUUAACUAGACAGAUCAAUUUACACUUAUUAACACAAUAGCGAGACCAACCUGAACAACUAGUAGAGUUGGCUCCGUCCAAUGUCCACGUAUCGAAUUGAAUAUUAAUAAACGAAUGCAACCUCAACUAGAGAGAUAUCAACUUGCGCGUAUUAACAUGAUUUAUAAAGAAAUAUUUCUCUAACUUUUGGGUCAUAUAGCACAAAAACAGGCCCAGUAUUCACUUCAGGCCCAAUCUCAAGUCAUCUUAUAUUGUAGCUAGUACACUUCUUGCCUAUUAUAUGUUUGAUGAAAUGCCUAGCUGGUAAUUUGAGCUGUUUGUGUUUGAUUUUGGUGCAGAAAAGUGGAGGAUGGGCGAUUACUCAUGAUCUGUGUAAUGUCAUCGCUGUGCUUGUAGCAUAAGCAGGGGCGGAUCUUGGAGGGGGCGAGGGUGUUCACCCCAACCUCCUCGGCUAAAAAUUACAAGGUAUAUUUUUAAAAAGCAACUUGUUGAUGGAUAUAUAAACUUGGAUUCCCGUAAACACAAGGCUAGCUAGUGGUUUAGGGAAAUUUAAAAAUUCACCUUGUGAUUCCAAGUUCAAAUCCCAGGCACUACAUUUUCAUUUUUUGACCCGGCUCCUUAGUGAAAAUUGUGGAUCCGCCAUUGAGAAUGAGGUUGCAGAUCUUCGACUUCAUGUGGCAGGGACUUAGUCUCGUAGUCUUUCGGUCUAUCCACGCUCUCUCUUGCUUCUCUCAUCAUAAAAAGGGUAGCCAUAUCCCAUGGUUCACAACAUAUUUGGUGAUGCAUUUGAGAAUUGCUCUUUGAUUCAACCUAUUUGGUGAUGCACAUAACUUUAUCUCCAACAUAAUCUUGCAGUUAAGAGGACAUCUUCUUACGUGCCAUUUUAGUCAUAACGGGCAGCACAAGGGGCUGCGACAUUCAAUCUUUAAGGUUCUUAGCACUGAACUCAUUGUACCCUUGAUAUUAUGAGUUUGAAAUAUAAUAUUAUUGAAACUUUAGUGGUC